rnacentral:tRNA from 4 species
GCUGUUAUGGCUCAGUCGGUAGAGCGUCGCCUUGGUAAGGCGGAGGUCACGGGUUCGAUUCCCGUUAACAGCU